rnacentral:rRNA from 1 species
UGAGUAAUGCCUAGGAAAUUGCCCUGAUGUGGGGGAUAACCAUUGGAAACGAUGGCUAAUACCGCAUGAUGCCUACGGGCCAAAGAGGGGGACCUUCGGGCCUCUCGCGUCAGGAUAUGCCUAGGUGGGAUUAGCUAGUUGGUGAGGUAAGGGCUCACCAAGGCGACGAUCCCUAGCUGGUCUGAGAGGAUGAUCAGCCACACUGGAACUGAGACACGGUCCAGACUCCUACGGGAGGCAGCAGUGGGGAAUAUUGCACAAUGGGCGCAAGCCUGAUGCAGCCAUGCCGCGUGUGUGAAGAAGGCCUUCGGGUUGUAAAGC